GGGUUGUGAGGUUAAGCGACUAAGCGUACACGGUGGAUGCCCUGGCAGUCAGAGGCGAUGAAGGACGUGCUAAUCUGCGAAAAGCGUCGGUAAGGUGAUAUGAACCGUUAUAACCGGCGAUGUCCGAAUGGGGAAACCCAGUGCAAUUCGUUGCACUAUCGUUAACUGAAUACAUAGGUUAACGAGGCGAACCGGGGGAACUGAAACAUCUAAGUACCCCGAGGAAAAGAAAUCAACCGAGAUUCCCCCAGUAGCGGCGAGCGAACGGGGAGCAGCCCAGAGUCUGAAUCAGCUUGUGUGUUAGUGGAACGGUCUGGAAAGUCCGACGGUACAGGGUGAUAGUCCCGUACACCAAAAUGCACAGGCUGUGAACUCGAAGAGUAGGGCGGGACACGUGGUAUCCUGUCUGAAUAUGGGGGGACCAUCCUCCAAGGCUAAAUACUCCUGACUGACCGAUAGUGAACCAGUACCGUGAGGGAAAGGCGAAAAGAACCCCGGCGAGGGGAGUGAAAAAGAACCUGAAACCGUGUACGUACAAGCAGUGGGAGCACCUUCGGGUGUGACUGCGUACCUUUUGUAUAAUGGGUCAGCGACUUAUAUUCUGUAGCAAGGUUAACCGUAUAGGGGAGCCGCAGGGAAACCGAGUCUUAACUGGGCGUUAAGUUGCAGGGUAUAGACCCGAAACCCGGUGAUCUAGCCAUGGGCAGGUUGAAGGUUGGGUAACACUAACUGGAGGACCGAACCGACUAAUGUUGAAAAAUUAGCGGAUGACUUGUGGCUGGGGGUGAAAGGCCAAUCAAACCGGGAGAUAGCUGGUUCUCCCCGAAAGCUAUUUAGGUAGCGCCUCGUGAACUCAUCUUCGGGGGUAGAGCACUGUUUCGGCUAGGGGGUCAUCCCGACUUACCAACCCGAUGCAAACUACGAAUACCGAAGAAUGUUAUCACGGGAGACACACGGCGGGUGCUAACGUCCGUCGUGAAGAGGGAAACAACCCAGACCGCCAGCUAAGGUCCCAAAGUCAUGGUUAAGUGGGAAACGAUGUGGGAAGGCACAGACAGCCAGGAUGUUGGCUUAGAAGCAGCCAUCAUUUAAAGAAAGCGUAAUAGCUCACUGGUCGAGUCGGCCUGCGCGGAAGAUGUAACGGGGCUAAACCAUGCACCGAAGCUGCGGCAGCGACACUAUGUGUUGUUGGGUAGGGGAGCGUUCUGUAAGCCUGCGAAGGUGUGCUGUGAGGCAUGCUGGAGGUAUCAGAAGUGCGAAUGCUGACAUAAGUAACGAUAAAGCGGGUGAAAAGCCCGCUCGCCGGAAGACCAAGGGUUCCUGUCCAACGUUAAUCGGGGCAGGGUGAGUCGACCCCUAAGGCGAGGCCGAAAGGCGUAGUCGAUGGGAAACAGGUUAAUAUUCCUGUACUUGGUGUUACUGCGAAGGGGGGACGGAGAAGGCUAUGUUAGCCGGGCGACGGUUGUCCCGGUUUAAGCAUGUAGGCUGAUUGUCCAGGCAAAUCCGGAUAAUCAAGGCUGAGGUGUGAUGACGAGGCACUACGGUGCUGAAGUAACAAAUGCCCUGCUUCCAGGAAAAGCCUCUAAGCAUCAGGUAACAUUAAAUCGUACCCCAAACCGACACAGGUGGUCAGGUAGAGAAUACCAAGGCGCUUGAGAGAACUCGGGUGAAGGAACUAGGCAAAAUGGUGCCGUAACUUCGGGAGAAGGCACGCUGGUGUGUAGGUGAAGUCCCUGCGGAUGGAGCUGAGACCAGUCGAAGAUACCAGCUGGCUGCAACUGUUUAUUAAAAACACAGCACUGUGCAAACACGAAAGUGGACGUAUACGGUGUGACGCCUGCCCGGUGCCGGAAGGUUAAUUGAUGGGGUUAUCCGUAAGGAGAAGCUCUUGAUCGAAGCCCCGGUAAACGGCGGCCGUAACUAUAACGGUCCUAAGGUAGCGAAAUUCCUUGUCGGGUAAGUUCCGACCUGCACGAAUGGCGUAAUGAUGGCCAGGCUGUCUCCACCCGAGACUCAGUGAAAUUGAACUCGCUGUGAAGAUGCAGUGUACCCGCGGCAAGACGGAAAGACCCCGUGAACCUUUACUAUAGCUUGACACUGAACAUUGAGCCUUGAUGUGUAGGAUAGGUGGGAGGCUUUGAAGCGUGGACGCCAGUCUGCGUGGAGCCAACCUUGAAAUACCACCCUUUAAUGUUUGAUGUUCUAACGUUGGCCCCUUACCGGGGUUGCGGACAGUGUCUGGUGGGUAGUUUGACUGGGGCGGUCUCCUCCCAAAGCGUAACGGAGGAGCACGAAGGUUAGCUAAUCCUGGUCGGACAUCAGGAGGUUAGUGCAAUGGCAUAAGCUAGCUUGACUGCGAGCGUGACGGCGCGAGCAGGUGCGAAAGCAGGUCAUAGUGAUCCGGUGGUUCUGAAUGGAAGGGCCAUCGCUCAACGGAUAAAAGGUACUCCGGGGAUAACAGGCUGAUACCGCCCAAGAGUUCAUAUCGACGGCGGUGUUUGGCACCUCGAUGUCGGCUCAUCACAUCCUGGGGCUGAAGUAGGUCCCAAGGGUAUGGCUGUUCGCCAUUUAAAGUGGUACGCGAGCUGGGUUUAGAACGUCGUGAGACAGUUCGGUCCCUAUCUGCCGUGGGCGCUGGAGAAUUGAGGGGGGCUGCUCCUAGUACGAGAGGACCGGAGUGGACGCAUCACUGGUGUUCGGGUUGUCAUGCCAAUGGCACUGCCCGGUAGCUAAAUGCGGAAGAGAUAAGUGCUGAAAGCAUCUAAGCACGAAACUUGCCCCGAGAUGAGUUCUCCCUGAGACUUUAAGUCUCCUGAAGGAACGUUGAAGACGACGACGUUGAUAGGCCGGGUGUGUAAGCGCAGCGAUGCGUUGAGCUAACCGGUACUAAUGAACCGUGAGGCUUAACCUUACAACGCCGAAG
rnacentral:rRNA from 1 species